UCUGACGUCACGGUUUCCAAGGCUGGUUAAUGGAGCACAGAGCAGGAAGAUAGGAGCCGCGCAUGCGUACUAUGUGUUCUUUCAACUUAGUAGCGGCAAGAUGACGGACCAGGAAGCUACGGAGCAAAGCCAGGUACAGUUAGCGGAUAUCCUAAACACGGCACACAGUCUUGUGUCAUUAUUAAACCGAAGGUUAGGCUCUUCAGGGACUGUGAGGCCAGUUGCACAAGAAAGUGAAAGACAGUCUGUUGAGGGACAGUCGAGGCAAACAGAGACAGGUCCACAGUCAGGACAGCUAAGAUGUCCUCAGCGCAGUGGUUCAGUUCAUCAAGAAAUGGCUCGAUCAUUUCCUGGACUUUUUCGCCGAGAGACAAAAGGGAAAAGACGUUUUACA